UACGGGGGGGGCAAGCGUUGUUCGGAAUUACUGGGCGUAAAGGGCUCGUAGGCGGCCAACUAAGUCAGACGUGAAAUCCCUCGGCUUAACCGGGGAACGGCCUCUGAUACUGGCUGGCUGGAGUUCGGGAGAGGGAUGCGGAAUUCCAGGUGUAGCGGUGAAAUGCGUAGAUAUCUGGAGGAACACCGGUGGCGAAGGCGGCAUCCUGGACCGAGACUGACACUGAGGAGCGAAAGCCAGGGGAGCAAACGGG
rnacentral:rRNA from 1 species